UACGGAGGGUGCAAGCGUUAUCCGGAUUUACUGGGUUUAAAGGGUGCGUAGGUGGGUCUGUAAGUCAGUGGUGAAAUCUCCGAGCUUAACUCGGAACGGUCAACUGAUACUGCUCGGCUAGAGUGCGGAAGGGGCAACUGGAAUUCUUGGUGUAGCGGUGAAAUGCGUAGAUAUCAAGAGGAACACCUGCGGCGAAGGCGGGUUGCUGGGCCGACACUGACGCUGAAGCGCGAAAGCUAGGGGAGCGAACGGG
rnacentral:rRNA from 1 species